GAUGAACGCUGGCGGCGUGCUUAACACAUGCAAGUUGAACGAAGUGGCGGAUGGGCGAGUAACACGUGAGGAACCUGCCUUUCACCGGGGAAUAACACUGGGAAACCAGUGCUAAUACCGCAUAGUGAAAGAGGGCCUCGCGCCUGAUUAGCUAGUAGGUGAGGUAACGGCUCACCUAGGUGAUGCUCAGUAGCAGGACUGUAUGUUGAUCGGCCGAAUUGGGACUGAGAGCCGGCACAGACUCCUACGGGAGGCAGCAGUGGGGACUAUUGGGCAAUGGCGCAAGCCUGACCCAGCAACGCCGCGUGAAGGAAGACGGUCUUCGGAUUGUAAACUUCUGUAGACAGGGACACGGUACCUGUAGAAUAAGCCACGGCUAACUACGUGCCAGCCGCCGCGGUAAUUC
rnacentral:rRNA from 1 species